UCCAGACUCCUACGGGAGGCAGCAGUGGGGGAUAUUGCACAAUGGGGGGAACCCUGAUGCAGCGACGCCGCGUGGGUGAAGGAGCGUUUCGGCGCGUAAAGCCCUAUCGGCAGGGAAGAAGGAGGACGGUACCUGACUAAGAAGCCCCGGCUAACUACGUGCCAGCAGCCGCGGUAAUACGUAGGGGGCAAGCGUUAUCCGGAUUUACCGGGUGUAAAGGGAGCGUAGGUGGCAUGGCAAGCCAGAAGUGAAAACCCGGGGCUUAACCCCGCGGAUUGCUUUUGGAACUGUCAGGCUGGAGUGCAGGAGGGGCAGGCGGAAUUCCUGGUGUAGCGGUGAAAUGCGUAGAUAUCAGGAGGAACACCGGUGGCGAAGGCGGCCUGCUGGACUGCAACUGACGUUGAGGCCCGAAAGCGUGGGGAGCAAACAGGAUUAGAUACCCCGGUAGC
rnacentral:rRNA from 1 species